AUCCUGAUAACAAACACUC
rnacentral:snRNA from 1 species